UGAGACCGGCGCACGGGUGCGUAACGCGUAUGCAAUCUACCUUAUACUGAGGGAUAGCCCAGAGAAAUUUGGAUUAAUACCUCAUAGUAUUAUCGAAUGGCAUCAUUUGAUAAUUAAAGUUCCAACGGUAUAAGAUGAGCAUGCGUCCCAUUAGUUAGUUGGUAAGGUAACGGCUUACCAAGACUAUGAUGGGUAGGGGUCCUGAGAGGGAGACCCCCCACACUGGGACUGAGACACGGCCCAGACUCC
rnacentral:rRNA from 1 species